rnacentral:rRNA from 1 species
UGGGGAAUAUUGGACAAUGGGCGCAAGCCUGAUCCAGCCAUGCCGCGUGCGGGAAGAAGGCCUUCGGGUUGUAAACCGCUUUUGUCAGGGAAGAAACGCUCUGGGCUAAUACCCUGGGGUAAUGACGGUACCUGAAGAAUAAGCACCGGCUAACUACGUGCCAGCAGCCGCGGUAAUACGUAGGGUGCGAGCGUUAAUCGGAAUUACUGGGCGUAAAGCGUGCGCAGGCGGCUUUGCAAGACAGAUGUGAAAUCCCCGGGCUCAACCUGGGAACUGCAUUUGUGACUGCAAGGCUAGAGUACGGUAGAGGGGGAUGGAAUUCCGCGUGUAGCAGUGAAAUGCGUAGAUAUGCGGAGGAACACCGAUGGCGAAGGCAAUCCCCUGGACCUGUACUGACGCUCAUGCACGAAAGCGUGGGGAGCAAACAGGAUUAGAUACCCGAGUAGUCCCUGAGCGGGCUGGCAAGGCGCAU